AUCAUCCCCGCCGCGGCCACUAUCCCACCAACCGACUAUGGGGUACAGUGGCACACACACGCACUAUAGCGAAAAACGCAAAAGGUGCAAACUAGAUAACAACAAAAUAGACCACACUCGAAAUGCUAGCAAAAAUACGUAAAAAGGUGCGCAAAGUAAGCAAGAGAGCGGGAGGUACCAACUCCCGAUGGAAAAACCUGAAAGUGUGCUUUGAUGCGCCCAAGUUUUCCUGAAGCUUAGCAGAACGUGCAGCUCUAUUGCGUCCUGCCGCGAGUCUGAACGAGAGUUGCCGGAGAUCCUCACCGGUGAAAUAGGCACCUGUCCAAGAAAACAGAACACACCCACAAAAGCAGAGGAAAGACUAAAAAGGAAAAGUGCAGGGGUUGCCAGAAAAAUUUUCGGCGGAAACAAAAAUUCCAGACCUCUGGACAGCACCGAGAUCUGCUGUGGGUAAGCAGUGAGAAAAAUGAGGUGGCUAAGUGGACAGUGUAAAAUGAAAGUGACCAGGGGAAUAUUCCGGGAGUACCAAGUUGGUCGGAAUGAGAGUUGCCGGAGAUCCUCACCGGCGAAAUAGGCACCUGUCCAAUAAAACAGAACACACCCACAAAAGCAGAGGAGAGACUAAAAAGGAAAAGGAGAAGUGCAGGGGUUGCCAGAAAAAUUUCCGGCCGAAACAAAAUUCCAGACCUCUGGACAGCACCGAGAUCUGCUGUGGGUAAGCAGUGAGAAAAAUGAGGUGGCUAAGUGGACAGUGUAAAAUGAAAGUGACCAGGGGAAUAUUCCGGGAUUACCAAGUUGUUCGGAAUUGUGGGGGGGAAAAACUGUCCAAAAGGAGCCGGUCGAAAAAGUGACCAGAGAAGGGCUCACGCUCGUGGCGCGUGGAUGUCACUGGCGGCGCGUGGGUGGUCAGCGGCGGCGCGUGAGGCAGAUUCCGGCGACGAAAUUUGCAGGGGGUGUGCGCCUGACGUUGUGUGUCUCGGUGGUGUAGGAGGUGUCGAAGAAAGACCGCCNNN
rnacentral:lncRNA from 1 species